rnacentral:tRNA from 3 species
GCCCUGCUAGCUCAAUCGGUAGAGCGUGAGACUUUUAAUCUCAAGGCUGCGGGUUCGAGCCCCGCGUGGGGCU